rnacentral:rRNA from 1 species
AUUGAACGCUGGCGGCAGGCCUAACACAUGCAAGUCGAGCGGAUGAAGGGAGCUUGCUCCUGGAUUCAGCGGCGGACGGGUGAGUAAUGCCUAGGAAUCUGCCUGGUAGUGGGGGAUAACGUCCGGAAACGGGCGCUAAUACCGCAUACGUCCUGAGGGAGAAAGUGGGGGAUCUUCGGACCUCACGCUAUCAGAUGAGCCUAGGUCGGAUUAGCUAGUUGGUGGGGUAAGGGCCUACCAAGGCGACGAUCCGUAACUGGUCUGAGGGGAUGAUCAGUCACACUGGAACUGAGACACGGUCCAGACUCCUACGGGAGGCAGCAGUGGGGAAUAUUGGACAAUGGGCGAAAGCCUGAUCCAGCCAUGCCGCGUGUGUGAAGAAGGUCUUCGGACUGUAAAGCACUUUAAGUUGGGAGGAAGGGCAGUAAGUUAAUACCUUGCUGUUUUGACGUUACCAACAGAAUAAGCACCGGCUAACUUCGUG